AUCAUAAUCAGAUCUUAAUUCUUAAAAAAUUAAAAGCUAUUUUCAAGUGUAAUAUGUAAUUAUGAUUCAAAUUUAAGACAGAAGAUAAUGUGUUCUCCUUAAAAAUUUCCUUUUAAAGAACGAAUUGAAUUUUGGUAAGACUUACGACUUGUAUAUAUGUAGAGUUAAUGCAUUAUUAUAUCGAUUAAUAUAUUCGAUAUAUCCAAUUUUAUGCUUAUUUGAUUUCGGUCGUUAUGUUAAAUUAGGUUCAAUUUAAGCAUAAAAAUAUAAAACAUACAUAAGCUGUACAUAGUCGAUAUUCUUACCAGUUUUCAAAGAACCGACUUCAGACAAUUAUGUUAUGGAGAGGUGUGAUUUAUUUAUUGGCCAUACAAGUGAUUCGCCGUAUACAGCGAGAGGCGUAUGUUGCCUGACGGGAAAGUAUGCGGAACUGAUGGCAGGACUUAUCCGAGCGAAGCUGCUUUGAAAGCAGCUUAAUGGCUGGUACCAGAACUACAAAUAAUAUACUAUUCUUCGUGUUUUAUUCCAGGGUUGGUUAUGCCUGCUGUUUCACGGGAGUAUAGCCGCAGUCUCAUAUAAAUUACGUGGAUCCGCGUGUGGGUUAUCAAAAUUCCAUAGCCUAACCUUAAUGACAGUUUGUAAAAAGUAACCAAUAUCAAUUAAUAUAUAAUAAAACAGUAAAAAAUG